GGGUGAGUAACACGUGGGUGAUCUGCCCUGCACUUUGGGAUAAGCCUGGGAAACUGGGUCUAAUACCGAAUAUGACCGCAUGCUUCAUGGUGUGUGGUGGAAAGCUUUUGCGGUGUGGGAUGGGCCCGCGGCCUAUCAGCUUGUUGGUGGGGUAAUGGCCUACCAAGGCGACGACGGGUAGCCGGCCUGAGAGGGUGUCCGGCCACACUGGGACUGAGAUACGGCCCAGACUCCUACGGGAGGCAGCAGUGGGGAAUAUUGCACAAUGGGCGCAAGCCUGAUGCAGCGACGCCGCGUGAGGGAUGACGGCCUUCGGGUUGUAAACCUCUUUCAGCAGGGACGAAGCGCAAGUGACGGUACCUGUAGAAGAAGCACCGGCCAACUACGUGCCAGCAGCCGCGGUAAUACGUAGGGUGCGAGCGUUGUCCGGAAUUACUGGGCGUAAAGAGCUCGUAGGUGGUUUGUCGCGUUGUUCGUGAAAACUCACAGCUCAACUGUGGGCGUGCGGGCGAUACGGGCAGACUUGAGUACUGCAGGGGAGACUGGAAUUCCUGGUGUAGCGGUGGAAUGCGCAGAUAUCAGGAGGAACACCGGUGGCGAAGGCGGGUCUCUGGGCAGUAACUGACGCUGAGGAGCGAAAGCGUGGGGAGCGAACAGGAUUAGAUACCCUGGUAGUCCACGCCGUAAACGGUGGGUACUAGGUGUGGGUUUCCUUCCUUGGGAUCCGUGCCGUAGCUAACGCAUUAAGUACCCCGCCUGGGGAGUACGGCCGCAAGGCUAAAACUCAAAGAAAUUGACGGGGGCCCGCACAAGCGGCGGAGCAUGUGGAUUAAUUCGAUGCAACGCGAAGAACCUUACCUGGGUUUGACAUG
rnacentral:rRNA from 1 species